GGGGGAAAGAAGAAAUGAGCUGCUUGGUUCAGUGAAGACAGUGAUGGACUGUGUCACUUCAGGCUUGCUGUAUCUUAUGCAGAAGUUCUCAGUUAAUCGUAGUGGACUGCCAGAUGUGAGCUGUAUGAAUACUUACCGAUAUUUGUGAAUGGAAAGCAACUUUGAUGACCACAGAGAAACUACAAGAAGAUGCUGAAAAAUGAAAAUGAAGCCUGACUGGGACUGAGAAAGUGAAAAACCUCACAGCAUAUAUGGCCUUGUUGGAGUACAAGUACUUUCAGAUUUGUAGUUUCAGAGCUUCCUUUGGUUACUGGUAGAUGUAUAUAUAGCACUGUGUGUAGAAUGCAUCUUACUAAACUUACUGAAAACUUCUUCACAUCUGUGAGAAGUUUAGAGGGAAAGGUAAUAGUUCCUAGUUGAAAAUAGACUCUGACAAAGUAGUCAAAAGUCCAGCACGUAUUUAAAUAAAAGACAGAUAAAGACUGGCACAGAUUAGCCAGGGUAUGAA